GGCAGUCUGGCAUAGUGGUUUGAACACUAGACUAUGACUCUAGAGACCAGGGUUCGAAACCCCACUCAGCCA